rnacentral:rRNA from 1 species
ACGCUCGACACCUACGGGAGGCAGCAGUUGGGAAUAUUGGACAAUGGNGGAAACUCUGAUCCAGUGACGCCGCGUGAAGGAAGAAGGUCUUCGGAUUGUAAACUUAUUUUGUCAGGGAAGAAAAAUGACUGUACCUGAAGAAAAAGCACCGGCUAACUACGUGUCAGCAGCCGCGGUAAUCUGAGCGGGCUGGCAAGGC